UACGGAUGGGCAUGCGGAUGAUUAGCUAGUUGGAGGGGUAACGGCCCGCCAAGGCGACGAUCAUUAGGGGUUCUGAGAGGAAGGUCCCCCACAUUGGAACUGAGAGACGGUCCAAACUCCUACGGGAGGCAGCAGUGAGGAAUAUUGGUCAAUGGGCGAGAGCCUGAACCAGCCAAGUCGCGUGAAGGAAGAAGGUCUUAUGGAUUGUAAACUUCUUUAGCAGAGGGAUAAAGGUUAUUACGAGAUAAUAAUUUGCAGGUACUCUGCGAAAAAGGAUCGGCUAACUCCGUGCCAGCAGCCGCGGUAAUACGGAGGAUUCGAGCGUUAUCCGGAUUUAUUGGGUUUAAAGGGUGCGUAGGCGGGUUUGUAAGUCAGUGGUGAAAGUUUCCGGCUUAACCGGGAGAAUGCCGUUGAGACUGCAAAUCUUGAGUGCAAGCGAGGUAAGUGGAAUGUGUUGUGUAGCGGUGAAAUGCAUAGAU
rnacentral:rRNA from 1 species